UACAGAGGGGGCUAGCGUUAUUCGGAAUUAUUGGGCGUAAAGGGCGCGUAGGCGGCCACGCGUGUCUUUCGUGAAAUCCCUCGGCUUAACUGAGGACGUGCGGAAGAAACUGCGAGGCUUGAGUCCGGGAGAGGGGGUGGAAUUCCCAGUGUAGCGGUGAAAUGCGUAGAUAUUGGGAGGAACACCGGUGGCGAAGGCGGCCCCCUGGACCGGUACUGACGCUGAGGCGCGAAAGCGUGGGUAGCAAACGGG
rnacentral:rRNA from 1 species